AUAAUAUGAUGAGUACUUUUUAGUCAGUUCUGCUACUGAUAGAAUUUGAUGAAAAUAUUAUUCUGAUAU